rnacentral:rRNA from 1 species
UACAGAGGUCUCAAGCGUUGUUCGGAUUCAUUGGGCGUAAAGGGCGCGUAGGCGGGCUGUCAAGUCUGGGGUGAAAUGCUGCGGCUCAACCGUAGAACUGCCUUAGAUACUGACGGCCUCGAGGAAGGUAGGGGCAUGCGGAACUGUAGGUGGAGCGGUGAAAUGCGUUGAUAUCUACAGGAACUCCGGUGGCGAAAGCGGCGUGCUGGACCUUUUCUGACGCUGAGGCGGCGAAAGCUGAGGG